AAAAACCCUAGCUUACGCCGCCGCUACUCUCUCUCGCCGUUCUCGCUGUUCUCUCUCUCUCUCUCUCUCUCUCUCCGGCGUCGCCGCUCUCUCACUAACGCUCUCUCUCUCUCUCACUAAGAUCUCACAAAUCUUUUAGGGGCAUAGAUGUAAGCUGCAAAAGGCAUCAAAGAUCUCACAGAUCUGUUCCUUGGAUUUUCAAAAAUCCUAGACCACUUUCACAGAGAACAAGAUUCAAGCACUUGAUUUCUUAGCAUCGACUUCUUCGAGUGCAAUGGGACCUCGUUUGAUCCACCAUGAGACUCCUAUUGUUGCUUCAUCUGCUCCUCCUGCGGUUGCCCCAUCACCAAACAUGAACAAUCUUGGACAUGCUUGUGUUGCUCAAUACAAUUCCAUGGCCUUAACUGAGUGAAGCGACAUCAACAGGUGCCAUAUGCCAGCUCUACAUGGAGGGAUUGCUUUGAAGUCUUGAUAUAUAUAUAUAUAUUAAUUGAAAAGGUGGGAAGGGGCGACCGGUGUAGUUUUUCCCUUUGGGCGUUACCAUCGGGGUUUUCACCCGCUGUGGCUACUGCUUGGGAAGGCGAGCCCGUCACCACAACCUCACAAAGGUGUGAGCCAGUAGAGCCCCUUCAAAGUAGCAUCUGGUUCACGCAUCUAUUACCGCAAGCGGAUUCGAACACGCGACCACUAGGAUGAAAUGAAUUCUUCUACCAACUCAACUACCACCCUUGUGGUUGAAUCUAAUUUUAUAUAUAUGUGUAUAUAUGUAUUUAUAUAUUGCUUUAUCUUUUUAGUUAUUCUUUAUGUUCCUCUAAAUGGUUGGUCUUGAAUAUUCUCAGGUCCAACUUUUACUAAGUGAUGUUCUCAAAAAUAAUUCCCAAGAUAUUUGGUGGACAUUACUUGUAAUUUCUUUUUGGGAUUUUAUGAAUUAUGGUAAAUAUUAUAUGCUUAAAUGUUUUUUUUCCCC